GCUGGCUCAACCAUUUCCCCCCAAAUCAAACCCUAGUUCCCAAUCCUCCUCCCCAACCAACACCGUCGUCGCCGCCGCCGACCACCUCCUCCCUGGACCGCGCCCUCCAUCGCCGACUACAUCCACCCACGACCGUGCUCUCCACCUCCCAUCCCUCCGCCGACCCAACCGCCCCUUCUCCAGUGAAGAAAUGCUUGAUCUCGGCUAGCGGCUGGUAGUGGCAAGUGCCUUCAUGACGGACUUGGUAGCUCCCGGAUGCUCCUUCUCCAAAGCCUUGGGCAGCGCACCGCCGGCACAUCUCGCCACCGUUCUCGCGCCUGGUCGUUGUCCUCAUCCCAGGUCGCUGCAGGUUGCUACCGUUCUCGUCCUCGACCAGGUCGCCGCCUUCCUUACCUAGGUCGUCGGCCUUGCUCUUCCUUAUCCAGGAGCUCGAGGCUCGCCUCAGAUCGACCGGCUUCCAGCUCCAGCCUCCCCUAGGUAUCCUCCACCGCCUGCUGCUACUUCUCUCCUCCGACGGCUGCAGCAAGCCAUUCCUGCUGGUGCUCGCCUCAGCCACUGACCAUGAGGCAGAAGAAGUCCGUCACAAGUUCUUUCCUAUGGUUGCAGGUGUAUGAGACUUCGGAGCUUCUAUAUGCAACAGCAAGAAUUGGAAGUGGAUAAGUCAAUGGCAAAAGCAGCAACGUGGCCACAAGGAAGCUGAGGAGGUUUUCCAAAGAUACACAAGUUAAUGGAGGUUUGUAAGAUCUACAAGCGGUUGUCAAUUUUGGAAGAUCUACAACGACUGAAGGUGUGGAAGACCUAUAAUUAAGUUGGUGUAGUGAUAAUGUAGUGCACCUAGUUUGUUGAACCUGGAGUACUUUUUGUGCCAGCACAACGUCCUUAUGUAUGGCCCUUUUCUGUAUGUAUGUAUGUAUCCAGAAACAUAUGUAUCUGACAUGUUAUGUUUAUAUGACAUGUUAUGUUUAUAUCGAAGGAAAGCUUUAAGGUUUUGGAUGAGGCCUAUAUGUAACUUCGAUUGAAC
rnacentral:rRNA from 1 species